AGGAUGAACGCUGGCGGCGUGCCUAAUACGUGCAAGUCGAACGAGUUCUGAUUAUUGAAAGGUGCUUGCAUCUUGAUUUAAUUUUGAACGAGUGGCGGACGGGUGAGUAACACGUGGGUAACCUGCCCUUAAGUGGGGGAUAACAUUUGGAAACAGAUGCUAAUACCGCAUAAAUCCAAGAACCGCAUGGUUCUUGGCUGAAAGAUGGCGUAAGCUAUCGCUUUUGGAUGGACCCGCGGCGUAUUAGCUAGUUGGUGAGGUAACGGCUCACCAAGGCAAUGAUACGUAGCCGAACUGAGAGGUUGAUCGGCCACAUUGGGACUGAGACACGGCCCAAACUCCUACGGGAGGCAGCAGUAGGGAAUCUUCCACAAUGGACGCAAGUCUGAUGGAGCAACGCCGCGUGAGCGAAGAAGGCUUUCGGGUCGUAAAACUCUGUUGUUGGAGAAGAAUGGUCGGCAGAGUAACUGUUGUCGGCGUGACGGUAUCCAACCAGAAAGCCACGGCUAACUACGUGCCAGCAGCCGCGGUAAUACGUAGGUGGCAAGCGUUAUCCGGAUUUAUUGGGCGUAAAGCGAGCGCAGGCGGUUUUUUAAGUCUGAUGUGAAAGCCCUCGGCUUAACCGAGGAAGUGCAUCGGAAACUGGGAAACUUGAGUGCAGAAGAGGACAGUGGAACUCCAUGUGUAGCGGUGAAAUGCGUAGAUAUAUGGAAGAACACCAGUGGCGAAGGCGGCUGUCUGGUCUGUAACUGACGCUGAGGCUCGAAAGCAUGGGUAGCGAACAGGAUUAGAUACCCUGGUAGUCCAUGCCGUAAACGAUGAAUGCUAAGGUGUUGGAGGGUUUCCGCCCUUCAGUGCCGCAGCUAACGCAUUAAGCAUUCCGCCUGGGGAGUACGACCGCAAGGUUGAAACUCAAAGGAAUUGACGGGGGCCCGCACAAGCGGUGGAGCAUGUGGUUUAAUUCGAAGCAACGCGAAGAACCUUACCAGGUCUUGACAUCUUUUGAUCACCUGAGAGAUCAGGUUUCCCCUUCGGGGGCAAAAUGACAGGUGGUGCAUGGUUGUCGUCAGCUCGUGUCGUGAGAUGUUGGGUUAAGUCCCGCAACGAGCGCAACCCUUAUGACUAGUUGCCAGCAUUUAGUUGGGCACUCUAGUAAGACUGCCGGUGACAAACCGGAGGAAGGUGAGGAUGACGUCAAAUCAUCAUGCCCCUUAUGACCUGGGCUACACACGUGCUACAAUGGAUGGUACAACGAGUUGCGAGACCGCGAGGUCAAGCUAAUCUCUUAAAGCCAUUCUCAGUUCGGACUGUAGGCUGCAACUCGCCUACACGAAGUCGGAAUCGCUAGUAAUCGCGGAUCAGCACGCCGCGGUGAAUACGUUCCCGGGCCUUGUACACACCGCCCGUCACACCAUGAGAGUUUGUAACACCCGAAGCCGGUGGCGUAACCCUUUUAGGGAGCGAGCCGUCUAAGGUGGGACAAAUGAUUAGGGUGAA
rnacentral:rRNA from 1 species